rnacentral:rRNA from 1 species
UACGGGGGGGGGGCAAGCGUUUGUUCGGAAUUACUGGGCGUAAAGGGCGCGUAGGCGCCUUCUAAGUCAGACGUGAAAUCCCCCGGCUUAACCUGGGAACUGCGUCUGAUACUGGAAGGCUUGAGUGCGGGAGAGGGAUGUGGAAUUCCAGGUGUAGCGGUGAAAUGCGUAGAUAUCUGGAGGAACACCGGUGGCGAAGGCGGCAUCCUGGACCGGUAUUGACGCUGAGGCGCGAAAGCCAGGGGAGCAAACGGG